rnacentral:rRNA from 1 species
UACGAAGGGUGCAAGCGUUACUCGGAAUUACUGGGCGUAAAGCGUGCGUAGGUGGUUCGUUAAGUCGGAUGUGAAAGCCCUGGGCUCAACCUGGGAAUGGCAUUGGAAACUGGCGACCUAGAGUGCGGUAGAGGGUAGUGGAAUUCCCGGUGUAGCAGUGAAAUGCGUAGAGAUCGGGAGGAACAUCUGUGGCGAAGGCGACUACCUGGACCAGCACUGACACUGAGGCACGAAAGCGUGGGGAGCAAACAGG